AGCGAACGCUAGCGGCGGGCCUAACACAUGCAAGUCGAGCGGGGGAGGCAAUCCCCACGCGGCGGGACGGGUGGAGUAACACGUAGGUUAUGUGCCCUUCGGUUGGGGAAGUAACCGUGGGAAACCAAUGGCUAAUUCCGCAUAUCGAGCGAAAUCUUGAAAGCCUUCGGGCGCCAAAGGAGCAACCUGCGGCCCAUUAGCUUGUUGGUAGGGUAACGGCCUACCAAGGCGAUGAUGGGUAGCUGGUCUGAGAGGAUGAUCAGCCACACUGGAACUGAGACACGGUCCAGACUCCUACGGGAGGCAGCAGUGGGGAAUAUUGCGCAAUGGGCGAAAGCCUGACGCAGCCACGCCGCGUGAGUGAUG
rnacentral:rRNA from 1 species